rnacentral:rRNA from 1 species
GGACCUGACUGCUAUCGGAUUAAUACUAAGCCAUGCGAGUUUUUGUAGUAAUACAAGGCAUACGGCUCAGUAACACGUAGUCAACCUACCUUAUGGACGAGGAUAAUCUCGGGAAACUGAGCAUAAUACUCGAUAGAUCAUAAUGCCUGGAAUGGUUUAUGGUUGAAAUGAUUCGUCGCCAUAAGAUGGGACUGCGGCCUAUCAGCUUGUUGGUGAGGUAAUGGCCCACCAAGGCGAUUACAGGUACGGGCUCUGAGAGGAGAAGCCCGGAGAUGGGUACUGAGACAAGGACCCAGGCCCUAUGGGGCGCAGCAGGCGAGAAAACUUUGCAAUGUGCGAAAGCACGACAAGGUUAAUCCGAGUGAUUUCUGCUAAAGGAAUCUUUUACCAGUUCUAAAAAUACUGGCGAAUAAGGGGUGGGCAAGUUCUGGUGU